GGCCUCGUGGCCCAAUGGCAAGGCGUCUGACUACGAUUGUGAUAAAAAGCCACGUAAUCAGGAGAUUCUGGGUUCGACCCCCAGCGAGGUCA